rnacentral:rRNA from 1 species
GACGAACGCUGGCGGCGUGCCUAAUACAUGCAAGUAGAACGCUGAAGAGAGGAGCUUACUCUUCUUGGAUGAGUUGCGAACGGGUGAGUAACGCGUAGGUAACCUGCCUUGUAGCGGGGGAUAACUAUUGGAAACGAUAGCUAAUACCGCAUAACAAUGGAUGACACAUGUCAUUUAUUUGAAAGGGGCAAUUGCUCCACUACAAGAUGGACCUGCGUUGUAUUAGCUAGUAGGUGAGGUAAUGGCUCACCUAGGCGACGAUACAUAGCCGACCUGAGAGGGUGAGCGGCCACACUGGGACUGAGACACGGCCCAGACUCCUACGGGAGGCAGCAGUAGGGAAUCUUCGGCAAUGGGGGCAACCCUGACCGAGCAACGCCGCGUGAGUGAAGAAGGUUUUCGGAUCGUAAAGCUCUGUUGUAAGUCAAGAACGGGUGUGAGAGUGGAAAGUUCACACUGUGACGGUAGCUUACCAGAAAGGGACGGCUAACUACGUG